rnacentral:rRNA from 1 species
AACGAACGCUGGCGGCAGGCUUAACACAUGCAAGUCGAACGCCCCGCAAGGGGAGUGGCAGACGGGUGAGUAACGCGUGGGAACAUACCCUUUCCUGCGGAAUAGCUCCGGGAAACUGGAAUUAAUACCGCAUACGCCCUACGGGGGAGAGAUUUAUCGGGGAAGGAUUGGCCCGCGUUGGAUUAGCUAGUUGGUGGGGUAAAGGCCUACCAAGGCGACGAUCCAUAGCUGGUCUGAGAGGAUGAUCAGCCACAUUGGGACUGAGACACGGCCCAAACUCCUACGGGAGGCAGCAGUGGGGAAUAUUGGACAAUGGGCGCAAGCCUGAUCCAGCCAUGCCGCGUGAGUGAUGAAGGCCUUAGGGUUGUAAAGCUCUUUCACCGGAGAAGAUAAUGACGGUAUCCGGAGAAGAAGCCCCGGCUAACUUCGUGCCAGCAGCCGCGGUAAUAC